UACGGAGGGUGCAAGCGUUAUCCGGAUUCACUGGGUUUAAAGGGUGCGUAGGAGGGCAGGUAAGUCAGUGGUGAAAUCUCCAAGCUUAACUUGGAACUGCCGUUGAUACUAUCUGUCUUGAAUACCGUGGAGGUGAGCGGAAUAUGUCAUGUAGCGGUGAAAUGCUUAGAUAUGACAUAGAACACCAAUUGCGAAGGCAGCUUACUUCACGAUCAUUGACACUGAGGCACGAAAGCGUGGGGAGCAAACAGG
rnacentral:rRNA from 1 species